CAAUAGCGUAUAUUUAAGUUGUUGCAGUUAAAAAGCUCGUAGUUGGAUUUCGGAUGGGAUUUGCCGGUCCGUCGUUACGAUGUGCACUGGCCAGUCCUAUCUUGUUGUCGGGGACUAGCUCCUUGGAUUCACUUCCUGGGACUAGGAGCUGACGAGGUUACUUUGAGUAAAUUAGAGUGUUCAAAGCAAGCCUACGCUCUGAAUGCAUUAGCAUGGAAUAACACGAUAGGACUCUGGCUUAUCUUGUUGGUCUGUGAGACCAGAGUAAUGAUUAAGAGGGACAGUCGGGGACAUUCGUAUUUCAUUGUCAGAGGUGAAAUUCUUGGAUUUAUGAAAGACGAACUUCUGCGAAAGCAUUUGUCAAGGAUGUUUUCAUUAA
rnacentral:rRNA from 1 species